rnacentral:rRNA from 1 species
UACGUAGGGUGCAAGCGUUAAUCGGAAUUACUGGGCGUAAAGCGUGCGCAGGCGGUUUUGUAAGUCUGACGUGAAAGCCCCGGGCUUAACCUGGGAAUUGCGUUGGAGACUGCAAGGCUUGAAUCUGGCAGAGGGGGGUAGAAUUCCACGUGUAGCAGUGAAAUGCGUAGAUAUGGGGAGGAACACCGGUGGCGAAGGCGGGCACCUGGACGGAUACUGACGCUGAGACGCGAAAGCGUGGGUAGCAAACAGG